GACGGAAGGUGCAAGCGUUGCUCGGAAUCACUGGGCGUAAAGGGUGUGUAGGCGGCCGUGCAAGGCUGGCGUGAAAGCCCCGGGCUCAGCCCGGGAAGUGCGCUCGAAACUGCGCGGCUCGAGUGCCGGAGGGGAGAGUGGAAUUCCUGGUGUAGCGGUGAAAUGCGUAGAUAUCAGGAGGAAUACCGGUGGCGAAAGCGACUCUCUGGACGGCAACUGACGCUGAGGCACGAAAGCGUGGGGAGCAAACAGG
rnacentral:rRNA from 1 species